AAAUUAACCGGUUAAACUUAGAUGCACACCACGAUAGAGAUAGAGAGAGGCGAUGAGUACACGAAGAAAGAAGCAGAGAAAGAGAGAGGCGGAGAAAUCAAAAGCCUAGGCAGAACGGUAAACAGAGAAGGCACGGAGUGGGGACUGGGGAGAGAGAAAAAUCUGCCACCAUCAUCCAUUUUUCUUCACGCUGCCACUCUCUAAUACACAAACCCAAAUCGUGAGAUAGAGUUCGUAAGAGGGAUAACCGUUUCGGUACAAAUCAAAAGAAAAAAGACUGGGAUAGAGAGAGGGAGUUCACUAAGCCGUAUGCCCGCAAAAGUCCGAUCUCCCACCACCAUCAGACUCCUGUAACUCCACAGAUGAUGGUAACUUGGUAAAGAAGUGGACUACUAAAGAAAAUCUCUACCCAAUCUGCAAGCUUGAUCAGUCUAAAUUCACAUUAGAAGAAAAGAACUCUGACAGGGUUUUAGUGGUUAUAAGUAAUGAAGAUUCAAGUGAUUGGAUGAACUGGUCUAAAAGGUGAUUUGGGUUUUGAAAGAUUGGAUCUUGAGGGCAAAGAGUAGCUGGAAUCAGAUCUUUAAGUUGCAGGACUAAAUUAAAUGUCAAUUUGGUGAUGCCCAAGAAACUUGAGGAGAUUGCAUUUGGAUGUCUCAUACCUAAUUACUCAGGAGGCAAGUAAUCUCUUCACUUAUUAUGACAGGAAAAGUCCACAACAACUGCGAAGGUCAAAUAGCCAAAUUGUUUUCCUUCCCUAAAUGUGCUAGUUUCGUCAGACUCUCUUCUUUUACAUUAAACCUUCGUCUCUUGGUUUCACAACCACCACAUCACACCCUUUCUCCCUUAUAUUCCUAAAUUUGCAACCCCUCUGUUCCUUAUAUUUCUUAUGAUUCUUGAAGAUUACAAACCUCUCCAACACUGUAACUAUUUAGUCAAAAGCCUCUCUAAUCUGUGAGAUUAUAAUAUAAUCUCAAGUAUUAGUUUUGCUAUGACCCAAUUACAAUGUCGUAAACACUCUGCUUAUCUAUGUAAGUUGUAGAACCUUUUCACAAUUAUGGGGUGCUAAUGCUGGAUGGCACAAAGGCAAAACAAUAAGCCACAUAGAGCAAACGGACGGAAGUCUAUAUACUUGAGGGUGGCCGAUGCAAUAAUAGAUUUGCCACGAAGUGUUUAUAAAAGAAAUGUUCAACCUGUGUUGAUGCAAAGGAUAACUUCCACUCUUUUUAGUUUAUGAAAUUUUAUAUGUUUUACUUUUGUGAUCUAUUGCCUUUAUGAAAUUCUAGAUAUGUUUCUGCAAAACUUGUGGUUUAAAAUGUGACAGAAUGUAUUAUUUAAGUGUUGUAAACUAAACAAAAAAUGAGAAACCUUUAAAUAUUUGAAUUCUUAUUUUCAAAUAUGCC